rnacentral:lncRNA from 1 species
GCCCUGGCAGCCGCCAUGGCAGACGGCGGCCCUGGCCCCAGGGCGGGGCAGUGGUGGCUCAGGACCACGUGUUUACUUUCAGAGCCCACCCCCCAGGGCCGCAGGAGGAGGCCCGGGCGGCACAGACGAUAAGGGCCCAGUGAGGCGCCAAGGGAAGGUCACCAUCAAGUAUUACCACAAGGAGCUACAAAGUGCCUCAACCUGGAGGAGUGGAUCAUGGAGCAGCUGACACAACUCCCCGACUGCCAGGAAAAGGAGAUCCCAGAACUGGAGAUUGACGUGGAUGAACUCCUGGACAUGGAGAGUGAGGAUGCCCAGGCUGCCAGGGUCGAGGAGCUGCUGGUUGACUGUUACAAACCCACCGAGGCCUUCAUCCCUGACCUGCUGGACAAGAUCCGGGGCAUGCAGAAGCUGAGCACACCCCAGAAGAAGUGA